rnacentral:misc_RNA from 1 species
AAUUAUUAUAGACAAAGUACAAGAUUACAUUAAUAACGACUAUAUAUAUGCUUCAUGUUUAUUCAUUUGCUAUAAGCAGAUAGGUAAGGUGUAGAUAAGGUGUACAAUUUUCCUUCGCAUGCAUGCCUGCAUGCCUGCUUCUAAGUAAAGUUUAAAAAGAAGAAAUUACAAAUAUAUAUUAUUUAUAUAUAAUAAUAAUAAUGAUUUUAGUCAAAGGGGCCAUGCUGAGUUAAAAUAAUUACAAGGUUCCCCAUGCCCUUCUCUUCCUAUCUUCUCCAUCUCUUGUACUUCAUAUGCAUUUGUCCCCUGAAUUGUUUCUAUGUUGUCCCUCUCCGAGUUGAAAUCAUAGUACAUACUAGCUGCUGAAAGCUUCAUAGAGAGAAACUCAAUUUGAUUCUGGAGUGAUUGAACAUAAUUAAUGAUGACAUCCAGCAUUACUGCCAUUCCCAUUGUCUUAUAACAUCCUGGAACCAGGUCCUGUAAGUGCCUAAGCUUCUCAUUGAUUUUCUCUCUUCUUACCUACAACAACACAGAAAUAUGUUUCGGUUCAGUUGUUUUUUUUGUCCUUUCCCUUGCCUAAAUAACAAAUUAAUUAAACAGACAAAUUUAAUAUGUAUUGCUUAAUUGCUUUGUACAGUGAAAGAACUACUGGCUCACUUCCUAAUGAGCAACUUGCAUUUUUAGAUUGCAUUUUCUAGUUCAAGCAUGAUGAAUUUGAGAAAACAUUUAAUUUUACAUGCAAAUAUGAUUAUUUAUUCAAUAAUUUUUUUAACCCAAAAAAAAGGUACUACCCUUUCUGCUAAACUGUGACUAUCUGUAGCUUGGCCUCUUUUAGCUCUCACAUGAACUACUUCUGUUGGUUUCUGCAAAUCUUUCUCAUCCUUUCUCUUUCGUUUUCUUCCUCCAAAGUUCCUCAUAUUUUCACUCUGCCCUGUUCCAGAAACUGCAGCAGGAGGAGGAGGAGAUACGUGCAGCAAGCUUUGGAUAUUAUUAGCGAAGUUCAUAGGGAGAUGCGGUUGCUGUUGAUGAUUGGAGAAGCUGCUGCAAUUGGAGAAGGCUACAAAUUGAUCUUGAUCAUCGGUUGAGCUAAAAUUCUCUAAUGCUCUCUGGUUAAUAUUCCCUAUCAACAGCAAAUUUGAAGAGUUGAUUCCUGAGAAAGAGGGCUUAAGGUUUUGUAGCUCCCCAGUAAACUCAUGAGCCAUCUGAUUCUGAAUAAAU